rnacentral:rRNA from 1 species
CCCCUAGAUGUUCUGGGCCGCACGCGCGCUACACUGAACAGUUCAACAAGUCUUAACCUUGGCCGAUAGGUCUGGGUAAUCUUUGAACGCUGUUCGUGAUUGGGAUAGACCUUUGCAAUUAUGGGUCUUCAACGAGGAAUUCCUAGUAAACGCAAGUCAUCAGCUUGCAUUGAUUACGUCCCUGCCCUUUGUACACACCGCCCGUCGCACCUACCGAUUGAAUGGUCCGGUGAAAUCUCGGGACGGCGGCUUGGUCGCUUGCGUCCGACUGCUGAAACUUGAUUAAACCAUAUCAUUUAGAGGAAGGAGAANUCGUAACA